GACAGAGGGGGCAGGCGUUGCUCGGAAUUACUGGGCGUGAAGGGCGCGUAGGCGGGAUGGCAAGUCGGUCGUGAAAUCCCUCGGCUCAACCGAGGAACGUCGAUCGAUACUGCUGUUCUUGAGGAUUGCAGAGGAGACUGGAAUUCCCGGUGUAGCGGUGAAAUGUGUAGAGAUCGGGAGGAACACCGGUGGCGAAGGCGGGUCUCUGGGCAAUUCCUGACGCUGAGGCGCGAAAGCGUGGGGAGCAAACGGG
rnacentral:rRNA from 1 species